UACGGAGGGUGCGAGCGUUGUCCGGAAUCACUGGGCGUAAAGGGCGCGUAGGUGGCUUAGAAAGCGUGUGGUGAAAGCCCGGGGCUUAACCCCGGGUCUGCCGUGCGAACUACUAUGGCUAGAGGACUGUAGAGGCAAGUUGAAUUCCGGGUGUAGCGGUGGAAUGCGUAGAGAUCCGGAAGAAUACCGGUGGCGAAGGCGGCUUGCUGGGCAGUUUCUGACACUGAGGCGCGACAGCGUGGGGAGCAAACAGG
rnacentral:rRNA from 2 species